rnacentral:tRNA from 1 species
CAGAGCGCAGCUAAGCUAGAAAAGCACCUCCCUUACACCGAGAAGACAUCCGUGCAACUCGGAUCGCACUGA